UACGUAGGGUGCGAGCGUUGUCCGGAAUUAUUGGGCGUAAAGAGCUCGUAGGCGGUUUGUCACGUCUGCUGUGAAAUCCCGAGGCUCAACCUCGGGCCUGCAGUGGGUACGGGCAGACUGGAGUGCGGUAGGGGAGAAUGGAAUUCCUGGUGUAGCGGUGGAAUGCGCAGAUAUCAGGAGGAACACCGAUGGCGAAGGCAGUUCUCUGGGCCGUAACUGACGCUGAGGCGCGAAAGGUAGGGGAGCAAACAGG
rnacentral:rRNA from 1 species